rnacentral:lncRNA from 1 species
UUAAGUAACUAACAAAAGGUGAAUUUAACAAAGAAGUGUUAAGUAACUCAAAAGAUAUAAUCUAAUCAAAGAUGAGAACUAAAGAAUGGGCAGUCCUGGAGAAAAGCCUCUGAUAUGAUUAGUAGAUGUGAAAAUUUAGAGAAGGGGACACAAGAGUAAAAGGUCUAUAUAUUUCACAUCACUUCCUCUCUCCAGGACCUUUUUGGCGGCAGAGAGUUGGCUGGUGGCAAAGUACUGGGCCUUUAGGCAUCUUGGUGUGACUACAGCUAUUGUCCGGUUCGGUGGGAUCAUGUUCUUCAGGGUUCUUGUGAAGACAGGCAGGCAACAAGCACGGAGGCUUUGUGUCCUUCUCCUCCUAGCUAUGCUUUUGGCUCUGGAAUCAUCUACUUUCUACUCCUGGAACUUGUCUCAGCACCUAGGACCAUCUCAGCCUGGAACAAGCUCUCCUCCAUGUUGCCCCAGUCUUCCAUAGGGACUUCACUGACUAAAUUCACAAGGAGAAGGCUGCAACCACUACUGAAUACCUUAACCUGGAGGUACAGGCAGGAAGCACAGCUCUCUUCAGUGUCCACACUUUCACCUCCACCUUCAGCUUUUGCUGCCAGCAGACCUCAGGGCUCAUUAAUCUAAUCAAUCAGCAGAGCCCCUUCUGGACAGAAUAGCCCAAACCCCAGUUCCAGCAAAUAAACCAAGAAGCAAGAACA